rnacentral:snoRNA from 11 species
AACUGUAAAUGAUGAUACUUGGGAAUCUCUCUGAAAAAAGUGAAAGACUAACUUUUUUUACUGAUACAGAA